GCGACCACCAGAAGCGGCAGGAACCUGUAGACUGGGCCCUCGGUACCUCGCGCGGAUGCCCUGGAAGGAAGUCCUCCUCCUCUGGCCCCGCCCACCGAGGCGGACGCGCCCGGGCUGCAGAGUGCUGAGCCCGGCCUUGGGGUCCGCUUCUCCCCAACAGCUGCUCCCUGCCCUCUCUGAGGUCUCGCCGACUGCAGCCCUUUUGUGUCAGAACGAAUUUUCUGCACAGUCAUUCCGCUCGCUGACCAGCAACAUGUUAUCCCUGCGGCCUGCCUGGAGACACUGGGAAACAGAUCCUGUUCUUCCAGAUACUACAUGUGAAAGAAUGGCCUCCAUCUCCCUGCAGAAGAUACUCUAGAGUUGAAACAGAAGCAUACACAUUUCCAAGGAACAGACGAAGGACUCCCAGUCGUAAACCCUUUUCUUAUGAUUUGAGGAAAAGAAUUGAGAGUCCUACUGAAUCUCCAUACAAGUGACAGUCUCACAAGGCAAGGUAAGAUAAUUUGAGGAAGGAAAUAGAGUCUUAUUGAAUCUACACGAGUGACAGGCUCACAGGAAAGCCAUCCAGGUAAGGAUCAUUCUUGUUCCUUUUUCAUUCUUGCCAGUAAAAUUGUGCCUUCAGCAUCGGUCCUUACAGGUUUACACAGACGGCAUCCAGCUGACUUUCAGUAAGAGAUGAAGCAUACACUGUGCCACAACACAGCUGUUGAGAGGAACUUCUGACAGGGGUGGACACCUAAAAUGAGCUCAGUUAAUGUUACAUGUAUCUAUAUUUCUCACAUGCAUUUUUUAAUGUUAAAAAUGUCAAUUAUAUGUUUAUUUUCACACACUAGAUAUGAACAAAGUGAGGCUGAGUGUGUCUACAUCCCUUCCUUGGGACCCUACUCCAAACAAUAGGACUGAGAAAGGAAGUGAUACAAUCCAAGACUCACUUUAGAGAGUGGAGGCCAGCCUAUGAAUUUGCUCCCAACUGGAGGACCGACAAGGCUGAAAGACAAAAAAGACAGAAUUAACUAAGAACACGGAGCCCGGAGCUUUCUGCCUCUACUGAACAGGAACCCUGAGUUUUGGCUCUCAUUGCUUUUAUUCACUUAGAC
ensembl:lncRNA